CCCGCGGGGACGAGGCGUGUUCUGGCGGCAUUGAGGACACGGGAUCCACACCUGACCAAGACCAAACGGGAAGUAAGGUCAUCGCAGCACUUAUACACCGACCAUCUCCUCGUGCAUCUCCUGAUGACGCAGCAUCUGGCGCGGUAUCUUGCUCAAGGACAGUUGGGAAUGGAACCUGCCACCUUGGUUGGAAGAAGACCACGUUGCCCCCAAGUGGUAAUACCCCAGUGACGAAAAGAGCAACAUUCAAUAAUUUUAAUUAGGUAUUUAUAUAUGCCAGUGUCAACAUAAAUGUUUACAAAUGUGUGUUAGAAGAGGUUAUUAGAAAGAAACACAAUUUGGUUUGUGCUGUUUAAAAAAAACUGUAUUCAUGUACAAAUCAGAUAUUGUCAUUUUCCAUACUGACUAUAAGAUAACGUUUGAUCAUAGAAAACAUUCCUCGAAACUCAACAAGUUUGUUCGUUGUUGCCUUGCGUGGUCUCCUGCACUCUCCGUUGACCUUCAUUAACCUCGCUUGACCUCGGCUCUGUUGCAGUUGGGGUCAAAGUUUGACGAAUGUUUCAACAUCUUGAAGGAU